AGAGACAGCAUCACGAUCAUGAUCACCACAGCAAUAAAGAAAUCUUCCUGGCAUGAGAACUCUGUGUCAUGUGGCUAUCUCGUGACAACUGGUGCCCAAACAGCGACCACGCACAAGGACCACAAACAGGGACCAUGAACAGGGACACAAACAGGGACUUGACCAGAGACUUAGCCUAACUUGAAGAUUGACCAGUCCAGAACGCGCUGAAAUAAACGCAGCAGGUGUUGAUAUAAAUGCAGAGCACGCUAAAUGCAUUGAGAAAAAUGUGGCAGACGUUGAGAAAAACGUGGAAAACCUGUACAGGGGAGCGUUGAGAUAAAGGUGACAGACCGAGGAUUCAUCAUCCCUAACCACUUUGAUUGUCUCUCUCCGGACGAAGUUCUCUCUAUUAACAGUGGGGAACCCCGUCACUGAUACCAUUGGACUGUGUUACCUCAGGGCAUGAAGAACAUUUGUCAACAAUUUGUUGCCGGAGUUUUAUCUCCUGUACGCCAGAGGUUUCCUGAUGUCUGCAUAUACCACUACAUGGACGAUAUCCUAGUCGCCACCCCAAGAGAGGUAACGGUGACUGAAGUCGUGUCAGUGAUCAUAACAGUAGCAACUCAGGCAGGAUUGCAGAUUGCACAGGACAAAAUCCAAAAGACAUCGCCUUGGCUAUAUCUGGACUGGAGGAUUUCGCAGACCUAAAUCUAGUCUCAGACUCUAACUUUGGGUACCAAAGUUAGCACCUUAAAUGAUCUGCAAUAGUUAUUAGGUGCCAUAAAUUGUGUGUGACCCCUAGUGGGGAAUUUAUACUGAAGAUCUUCACCCCCUCUUCAGAUUACCGGAAGGAGAUCCGGACUUAUCAUCACUGAGACAUUUGACACCAGCAGCAACGACAGCGCUGAAUACUGCCAUCUUGAAGAUGACCCAGCAAACAGUACAUCAAAGAAGACCUGAUCAUCCUAACCACAAGAACUAGAACUGUUGGAUUCGGUUAAAAUGGAUUAUUGUUUGUAUUUUAACUAUAGUGGAAAGAAUCAAUCAUUAGUUCAGUGCGUUAAUUCUAGUUUAGCUGCUUAUAGAAAUCAAUCUGCUUAAUUUAGCCUGGGAGUGUGGAUACAGAAUGUGUUAAAAUAGGGUUAGUUUUUGCUUUUCUCUGUGUUUUAGUUUGCAUUCCUUGCUUAUUACAGUGUGUUCAGAAGUGAUACAAGAUUCUUUAAAUCACGCUUUUUUCAUUAGUAAAGAAGGGGGAGAUGUGGGAGAUGGAAAGGUCAGCUCGUCCUCGUCAAAUGCUGACUCACUGAUAAUGAGGCUCUGGAAAGGAGACAGAAGGUCUGAAUAAACAGGGGUGUUUUGUACCUAGCCAUAAGAUAAACUGCUGAUUAUGAAGACUUGUUAUGGAAUUUGCUUGCUUUCUAGCCAAUCGAUUGUUAGUGGAAAUGUACUGAAUAUGUGUGUUAGAAUAUAAAAGUCUUGCUUUAGAAAGUAGACAUAGAGAGAGACAGCAUCAUGAUCAUGAUCAUUACGACAAUAAAGAAAUCUUCCUGGCACGAGAA